UAAGUGACUAAGCGUACACGGUGGAUGCCUUGGCAAUCAGAGGCGAAGAAGGACGUGCUAAUCUGCGAAAAGCGUGGGGGAGCUGAUAAGGAGCGCAAAUCCCACGAUAUCCGAAUGGGGAAACCCGAUAGAUGAAGAAUCUAUCAUUGUUGUCUGAAUUCAUAGGGCAACAAGGCAAACCGGGAGAACUGAAACAUCUAAGUACCCCGAGGAAAAGAAAUCAACCGAGAUUCUGCGAGUAGCGGCGAGCGAAAGCGGAGGAGCCAGCGAGUGAUAGCAUAAGUUUUAGGAGAAUUGUCUGGGAAGGCAAGCGAGAGAGGGUGACAGCCCCGUAUCCGAAAAGACGGAUGUGGUACUAAGCUAGCAAGAAGUAGGGCGGGACACGAGGAAUCCUGUUUGAAGAAGGGGGGACCAUCCUCCAAGGCUAAAUACUCCUGAUUGACCGAUAGUGAACCAGUACCGUGAGGGAAAGGCGAAAAGAACCCCGGGAGGGGAGUGAAAGAGAACCUGAAACCGUGUACGUACAAGCAGUGGGAGCCUGUAAGGGUGACUGCGUACCUUUUGUAUAAUGGGUCAGCGACUUAUAUUUUGUAGCGAGGUUAACCGGAUAGGGGAGCCGAAGGGAAACCGAGUCUUAACUGGGCGGUUAGUUGCAAGAUAUAGACCCGAAACCCGGUGAUCUAGCCAUGGGCAGGAAGAAGGUUGGGUAACACUAACUGGAGGGCCGAACCGACUACUGUUGAAAAAGUAGCGGAUGACCUGUGGCUGGGGGUGAAAGGCCAAUCAAACCGGGAGAUAGCUGGUUCUCCCCGAAAUCUAUUUAGGUAGAGCCUUAUAUGAAUACCUUCGGGGGUAGAGCACUGUUUCGGCUAGGGGUCCAUCCCGGAUUACCAACCCGAUGCAAACUGCGAAUACCGAAGAGUAAUGUAUAGGAGACACACGGCGGGUGCUAACGUUCGUCGUGGAGAGGGAAACAACCCAGACCGCCAGCUAAGGUCCCAAAGUCUAUAUUAAGUGGGAAACGAAGUGGAAAGGCUUAGACAGCUAGGAUGUUGGCUUAGAAGCAGCCAUCAUUUAAAGAAAGCGUAAUAGCUCACUAGUCGAGUCGGUCUGCGCGGAAGAUGUAACGGGGCUAAAAUAUAGCACCGAAGCUGCGGCAUCAGGCGUAUCACUGAGGUGUGAGUGGAAUCGAAGAGAGGAAUAUGUGUGAUACGUCUGUUGGGUAGGGGAGCGUUGUGUAAGCUGAAGAAGGUAGUUCGAGAGGGCUGCUGGAGGUAUCACAAGUGCGAAUGCUGACAUAAGUAACGAUAAAGCGGGUGAAAGGCCCGCUCGCCGGAAGACCAAGGUUUCCUGUCCAACGUUAAUCGGGGCAGGGUGAGUCGGCCCCUAAGGCGAGGCUGAGAAGCGUAGUCGAUGGGAAAUGGGUUAAUAUUCCCAUACUUGGAUAAACUGCGAUGUGGGGACGGAGCAGGUUAGGUUAGCGUACGGAUGGAAGAGUACGUUUAAGUUGGUAGGUGAGGUGUUUAGGCAAAUCCGGGCACCUGAUAACACUGAGAGAUGAUGACGAGGCUACGGUGCUGAAGUAACUGAUACCCAACUUCCAGGAAAAGCCACUAAGCGAGAGGUUUAUCUAAACCGUACUGGAAACCGACACAGGUGGUCAGGUAGAGAAUACUAAGGCGCUUGAGAGAACUCGGGUGAAGGAACUAGGCAAAAUAGCACCGUAACUUCGGGAGAAGGUGCGCUGGCGUAGUGUGAAGUUCUUCGCGAAUGGAGCACGAACCAGUCGAAGCGACGAGCUGGCUGCAACUGUUUAAUAAAAACACAGCACUCUGCAAACACGAAAGUGGACGUAUAGGGUGUGAUGCCUGCCCGGUGCUGGAAGGUUAAUUGAUGGUGUUAUCGAAAGAGAAGCACCUGAUCGAAGCCCCAGUAAACGGCGGCCGUAACUAUAACGGUCCUAAGGUAGCGAAAUUCCUUGUCGGGUAAGUUCCGACCUGCACGAAUGGCAUAAUGAUGGCCAGGCUGUCUCCACCCGAGACUCAGUGAAAUUGAAAUCGCCGUGAAGAUGCGGUGUACCCGCGGCUAGACGGAAAGACCCCGUGAACCUUUACUAUAGCUUGACACUGAACCUUGAAUUUUAAUGUGUAGGAUAGGUGGGAGACUAAGAAGCGGUAACGCCAGUUAUCGUGGAGUCGAUGUUGAAAUACCACCCUUUAACGUUUGAUGUUCUAACGAGGCACCUGGGACAGGUGUUCGGACAGUGUCUGGUGGGUAGUUUGACUGGGGCGGUCUCCUCCCAAAGCGUAACGGAGGAGCACGAAGGUUGGCUAAUGACGGUCGGACAUCGUCAGGUUAGUGCAAUGGUAGAAGCCAGCUUAACUGCGAGACGGACAAGUCGAGCAGGUACGAAAGUAGGUCAUAGUGAUCCGGUGGUUCUGAAUGGAAGGGCCAUCGCUCAACGGAUAAAAGGUACUCCGGGGAUAACAGGCUGAUACCGCCCAAGAGUUCAUAUCGACGGCGGUGUUUGGCACCUCGAUGUCGGCUCAUCACAUCCUGGGGCUGAAGUAGGUCCCAAGGGUAUGGCUGUUCGCCAUUUAAAGUGGUACGCGAGCUGGGUUUAGAACGUCGUGAGACAGUUCGGUCCCUAUCUGCCGUGGGCGUUGGAGGAUUGAGGGGGGUUGCUCCUAGUACGAGAGGACCGGAGUGAACGCACCGCUGGUGUUCCAGUUGUUUCGCCAGAAGCAUUGCUGGGUAGCUAAGUGCGGAAGAGAUAAGUGCUGAAAGCAUCUAAGCACGAAACUUGCCCCGAGAUGAGUUCUCCCUGACAGAGAGUCAGUAAGGGUUGUUGAAGACGACGACGUAGAUAGGUGGGGUGUGUAAGCGGUGUGAGCCGUUGAGCUAACCCAUACUAAUUGCCCGAGAGGCUUAA
rnacentral:rRNA from 1 species